UUACCCCGCAAGGGGUGACUGAGUGGCAAACGGGUGAGUAACACGUGGGUGACCUGCCUUCGAGUGGGGGAUAACGUUUCGAAAGGAACGCUAAUACCGCAUGACAUCCUGCCUUUGAACAGGUGGAGAUCAAAGCCGGGGAUCGCAAGACCUGGCGCUUGAAGAGGGGCCCGCGUCCGAUUAGCUAGUAGGUGGGGUAACGGCUCACCAAGGCGACGAUCGGUAUCCGGCCUGAGAGGGCGGACGGACACACUGGGACUGAGACACGGCCCAGACUCCUACGGGAGGCAGCAGUGGGGAAUUGUUCGCAAUGGGCGCAAGCCUGACGACGCAACGCCGCGUGGAGGAUGAAGGUCUUCGGAUUGUAAACUCCUGUUGAUCGGGACGAAUAACCAUCGGGAUAACACCCCGGAGGUCUGACGGUACCGAUUGAGGAAGCCCCGGCUAACUCUGUGCCAGCAGCCGCGGUAAUACAGAGGGGGCAAGCGUUGUUCGGAAUUACUGGGCGUAAAGGGCGCGUAGGCGGCCGCCUAAGUCAGACGUGAAAUCCCUCGGCUCAACCGGGGAACUGCGUCUGAUACUGGGUGGCUUGAAUUCGGGAGAGGGAUGCGGAAUUCCAGGUGUAGCGGUGAAAUGCGUAGAUAUCUGGAGGAACACCGGUGGCGAAGGCGGCAUCCUGGACCGAGAUUGACGCUGAGGCGCGAAAGCCAGGGGAGCAAACGGGAUUAGAUACCCCGGUAGUCCUGGCCCUAAACGAUGAGUGCUUGGUGUGGCGGGUAUCGAUCCCUGCCGUGCCGAAGCU
rnacentral:rRNA from 1 species